AGGGCAAGUCUGGUGCCAGCAGCCGCGGUAAUUCCAGCUCUAAUAGCGUAUAUUAAUAUUGUUGCAAGUUAAAAAGCUUCGUAGUUGAAAUUUUGGUAACUUUUAUUUAUAUUGGUUUUACCUUUUGGUGAACUAUAUAAUGGGUUUCUUCCUACUAGAGUUCGAUUCUGUUCUUAACUGAAUGGAGUAGCUAUCUCUCGGGGUAGUCAGUUGGUUAUUAUAUCUCCACUAAUGAGCGGAGAGGGGUAAAACCUUCAAAGCAAGUUAUGUGGAUCAAGGUAUAGUGAUUAAUUGGAGUUCUAGUUCAUUUACUUUGAGAAAAUUAGAGUGUUUAAAGCAGCCUCUUGGGGCACUGAAUACAUUAGCAUGGGGAUAAUAAAAUAGGAUCUUCACAAUAUAUUUUAUUGGUUUAAAUUGCGUAUGAAGAUAAUGAUUAAUAGGGAC
rnacentral:rRNA from 1 species